UACGUAGGGGGCAAGCGUUGUCCGGAUUUAUUGGGCGUAAAGAGCGUGUAGCGGCCAGGUAGGUCUGCUGUGAAAACUCGAGGCUCAACCUCGAGACGUCGGCGGAAACCAUCUGGCUAGAGUCCGGAAGAGGAGAGUGGAAUUCCUGGUGUAGCGGUGAAAUGCGCAGAUAUCAGGAAGAACACCCGUGGCGAAGGCGGCUCUCUGGGACGGUACUGACGCUGAGACGCGAAAGCGUGGGGAGCGAACAGG
rnacentral:rRNA from 1 species